GGCGUGUCCACUCAUGAUGGGGGAGGAGAGAAAGUGAACCAAUCAGCAGUAGGGGGCGUGUCCACUCAUGAUGGGGGAGGAGAGAGAGUGAGCCAAUCAGCAGUAGGGGGCGUGUCCACUCACGAUGGGGGAGGAGAGAGAGUGAGCUAAUCAGCAGUAGGGGCGUGUCCACUCAUGAUGGGGAGGAGAGAGAGUGAGCCAAUCAGCAGUAGGGGCGUGUCCACUCAUGAUGGGGAGGAGAGAGAGUGAGCCAAUCAGCAGUAGGGGCGUGUCCACUCAUGAUGGGGGAGGAGAGAGAUGAGCAAAAGGGAGAUUAGAAGAAAGACUGACGGCUGAGGCUGAGAGACAUUACAAAAGAGAAAAGCUCAGAGGAAUAUCACUU